CUGGUCCUAACAGAAUAAAAUACUGCCUUCAGACUCAUUUUUACUUUGGCCCGCUGGAUAGUGCCUGAUUUAUUUACUUACAAACAAAUGGCUCGCUGUGAUAAUGAAGCUUUUAUUAUUCAUUUCUUCAAUAUUUAUACUCCACACCUAGCAGAUCUUUGGCAAUGUUCUUUCUACGCACGUUUUACUUCUGACACCGGAUCAUCCUUAGGUGAUGUUAUUCAGAUGGAUUUUAAUAGCCUAGGGUUGUAACAGCAUUACCAGGUCGUUGUUCAAACCCGAAACUGUCCAGAAGUUUAGGCUUUAGGGCUCGACAACAUGGGGGGACUUCUCAUUGAUCGAAGCGGUAUGAAGCGCAUGACCUAAAAGCGAAUGCUCUAAGAAAGCCAAGAAUGUAACAAAGAAUGAACCAAACGCGUUUUAUACGACGAUUUUCAUCACACUUGUGAGGAAGAAAACAGGAUAAACUUUUAAACACGUUCUCAGGAAACAGCUGACCAUUUUUUGCUGUUUUUUCACUGUAUAAACAGGUUUCUAAACAGGUUCCUACUCACUCGCGAUAUUAUGAGCCUUAUAUCGAUGUUAUAAGGUUCUAGUUA